CCUCAAUGCACUAGCAUGCACUAAAACCAAAACACACAAGGAGAUUCAGCACUGUUAAGAAGAGAAAUCCAAGUUGACUUGGCAUGAAGCAGGAGGCUGAUUGAGAGCUUUGAAACCUCUUUAAACUUGGACAUUUCAAGAAUCCUGGAAGAGCACUAUUGUGAAAAAAACUAGGAGACCUGCCAGGAAUGAGUGUUUGGUUUCUGCUCUGGAGGUGCUUGAGAAGGGCAAUAGAUCUUAUCUCCAAGUCUUAUUUUCUAAAGAGGUUCCAAGCCAUCGAUACGCAUGAUCUUCAGCAUCCCAGCAGCCAUUUCCUGCUGACCGCUGAGCAGGAAGAGCACAUGACCCUGGCUGGAGCCGCCAAGAGGGUGGAGAUGAUCAGAAAUCCUUUCACUGUCAAAUUCAGAGAAGAAACAUGCUGAGAAGAGGCACUUCCUAUGCCAGGCCUACCUGUGCCGUGAGGAAUACAUGUAGGAGACACUAUUUGAAAAGGUCGCCACCUUGCUGGAACAACCAAUGCAGAGAUAAUGCUGGGCCCUCUAAUCAGUUGAACAGUGGCUUCAAAAAGAUAGGUCAAAGUUAUAAUCUCCUGCAGCUGUGCAUGUGACUUUCUUUGGAAAUAGGAUCUUGCAGGUAUGAUGAAGGCCUAUCUUCCCCAGGCCUGCCAAAGGGAUCCUGCAAAAAAGCAAAUCUGAUCAUAUCCCAGCUCUCAGACCUCUCCACUCGAUGUCCAUCAGCUCCAGGAGGUGCCUUCCAAGGCCUGAAGGUUGACAGAUCCCCCAGGAUCCCCAGGGCCAGCCUACUCUGCAGCCUCACCUCCCAUGCUCCCCUUAUGCCAAUUCUCAGCAGGUUUCUCCCCUGCUUCAUCCCCUAAAUGUUACCCUCCAGUGAUAUUAUUGAUCACCUUCUGAGCAUGCGAUGCCUGCCUGUGACUUUCCACACAGUUUCCCUGAGUCAGGAAAUGUUCUUUUUGCUUGACAACCUGGCAAAGUCUGGUUAGCUUUCCAAUUCAGCUAGGACCAGAGCCUUCUCUUACCUUUACAUCUACCCACCACACCCCUGAAUUAAUUUAAUCUCUCCUCCCUCUCUAC
ensembl:lncRNA novel transcript